GCUGGCUUAGUUAAUACAGUGCUUGACUUUGAAUCAUGAAGACCUGAGUUCAACCCUCAGAACCUACA
rnacentral:tRNA from 1 species